GGAUGAACGCUGGCGGCGUGCCUAAUACAUGCAAGUCGAGCGGAAGGUUUAGCAAUAGACCUUUAGCGGCGAACGGGUGAGUAACGCGUUGGUGACCUGCCUCGAAGCUUGGGAUAACAGUUCGAAAGGACUGCUAAUACCGGAUGUGGUCACGUGGAUUAGAGGCCAUGUGAUUAAAGGAGAAAUUCACUUCGAGAGGGGCCUGCGUCCCAUCAGCUAGUUGGAAGGGUAACGGCCUACCAAGGCGAUGACGGGUAGGGGACCUGAGAGGGUGGCCCCCCACAAUGGAACUGAAACACGGUCCAUACACCUACGGGUGGCAGCAGUAGGGAAUAUUGCAUAAUGGGCGAAAGCCUGAUGCAGCAACGCCGCGUGUGCGAUGAAGGCCUUCGGGUCGUAAAGCACUUUUGAAGGGGAUGAGGAAGGACAGUACCCUUCGAAUAAGCUUC
rnacentral:rRNA from 1 species